UACGUAGGGGGCGAGCGUUGUCCGGAUUUAUUGGGCGUAAAGAGCUCGUAGGCGGUUUGGUAAGUUGGAUGUGAAAUCUCCAGGCUCAACUUGGAGGGGUCAUUCGAUACUGCCAUGACUAGAGUUCGGUAGGGGAGUGUGGAAUUCCUGGUGGAGCGGUGAAAUGCGCAGAUAUCAGGAGGAACACCCGUAGCGAAGGCGCCACUCUGGGCCGGAACUGACGCUGAGGAGCGAAAGCGUGGGGAGCGAACAGG
rnacentral:rRNA from 1 species